AGUGAAUGCUGGCGGUAGGCCUAACACAUGCAAGUCGAACGGCAGCACAGUAAGAGCUUGCUCUUACGGGUGGCGAGUGGCGGACGGGUGAGGAAUACAUCGGAAUCUACUUUUUCGUGGGGGAUAACGUAGGGAAACUUACGCUAAUACCGCAUACGACUUACGGGUGAAAGCAGGGGAUCUUCGGACCUUGCGCGAUUGAAUGAGCCGAUGUCGGAUUAGCUAGUUGGCGGGGUAAAGGCCCACCAAGGCGACGAUCCGUAGCUGGUCUGAGAGGAUGAUCAGCCACACUGGAACUGAGACACGGUCCAGACUCCUACGGGAGGCAGCAGUGGGGAAUAUUGGACAAUGGGCGCAAGCCUGAUCCAGCCAUACCGCGUGGGUGAAGAAGGCCUUCGGGUUGUAAAGCCCUUUUGUUGGGAAAGAAAAGCAGCAGGUUAAUACCCCGCUGUUCUGACGGUACCCAAAGAAUAAGCACCGGCUAACUUCGUG
rnacentral:rRNA from 1 species